AUGGGUGCUCCGGUCGGCCUCGCCUGCGCCUGGAGCACAGCCCUCCGGCUCCGGCGGCGCCACCUCGACGGCGACGAAGGUGAUGUUGGAGCGGCAGAGGGGGCAAUUGGAGUGCGACUUGAGCCAGGUGUCGAUGCACUGCUGGUGGAACGCGUGGCUGCAUUUCGGGAGCAGCCGGAGGCUCUCCCCGUCGUGGAACUCGCCGAGGCAGACCGAGCAGUCGGUGGUGUGGAGGGCGGGCCCGUCGCCGCGCCUGUACUUGCACACCGUGAUCUUGUUGAUGAGGGCCUCGUCCAGCCCGCUCGCCGGCGACACGUUCCACGACUCCUGGCUCCUGGACUGCCCGUGGCCGCUCCCAGGACCGCCGCUGCCCCCACCGCCGCCGGAGCCGGGGCCGGGGCCGAAGAGCCUCCUCCGGAGGGAGCCGAAGGUGCCGCAGUACUUGGAGAUGAAGGUGUAGUAGCUGACGAGGAGGAAGGCGGUGGCGAGCACGCCGAUGAUGGCGAUGACGAGCGGGGAGAAGACGUGGCCGGAGGAGUCGUCCGGGCCGGGGCCGGCGAGGUCGAAGGGCGGCGGCGGCGGGAAGAUGAAGUAGCACCACUGGGGGCAGUACAUGCUGCACAGCCCCUGCGAGCAGUCCCUGGUCGGCUCGUAGGGCACCCAGGUGGGCUCCGUCCCGAUGAUUGCCGGCGGCGAAGACGCCAUUUUUGCCUCCCCCUCCCCCUCCUAGCACCAAAUCUUGGCAGCAGGGGAGAAAAAGGCCGAGGAAGGAACGGGGACAGAUGUGUUGCCAACCACCUCACUCACUCCGAGACGGCUGGGCGCUCAGGUACUAGCAGAGGAUCUCCGAGUCUCUCUGGGCCAAAUCAUUGUGACUGGGUGGGGGAAGAAGGCGUAGGAGCAUCUGAGUGGGCGCUCGAUCCAUGGCGCUUUCUUUCUCGAGGUUGGGGAGUGGGAAAUGUGACGGGGAAUGGGGGGAAGAGAUCGGAAUCAGACGAUGGCGCAGGCUGA
rnacentral:rRNA from 1 species